rnacentral:lncRNA from 1 species
GAACAUAUUAAAGGUAGUGAUAAUCAGAUUGCAGAUAUUUUAAGUAGAAUAAUUAAAAAUAAAGAAUAUGACUGAUCAUUUAUUGCAGAUGCAAAGACCAAGAGGUCCCAGACCAGGAUUGCCAAUUGUUGGCAGUUCCAGUUCUCAGACAAAUAUACUACAGACUCAUGAUAAGUUAAGAUUUGGUAAUAUAGAGUUACUUUGUUUUCCAAACAGUAAUAUUAGUUUUAAGACACUCUCUCAUAUUUC